rnacentral:rRNA from 1 species
GAUGAACGCUAGCUACAGGCUUAACACAUGCAAGUCGCGGGGUAACGAGAGGGAAGCUUGCUUUCCUUGUCGACGACCGGCGCACGGGUGAGUAACGCGUAUCCAACCUGCCCAUUACCACGGGAUACCCCGUCGAAAGGCGGCCUAAUACCGUAUGCAGUCGUCAGAUGACAUCAGAUGACGACGAAAGGAUUAGCGGUAAUGGAUGGGGAUGCGUCUGAUUAGGUAGUUGGAGGGGUAACGGCCCACCAAGACAUCGAUCAGUAGGGGUUCUGGGAGGAAGGUCCCCCACAUUGGAACUGAGACACGGUCCAAACUCCUACGGGAGGCAGCAGUGAGGAAUAUUGGUCAAUGGGCGCGAGCCUGAACCAGCCAAGUAGCGUGAGGGAUGACGGCCCUAUGGGUUGUAAACCUCUUUUAUGCGGGAAUAAAAUGUUUGACGUGUCAUUCAUUGUAGGUACCGCAAGAAUAAGGACCGGCUAAUUCCGUGCCAGCCGCCGCGGUAAGAC